UACAGAGGGGGCAAGCGUUAUUCGGAAUUAUUGGGCGUAAAGGGCGCGUAGGCGGUCUGGCAAGUGGAAGGUGAAAUCCCUCGGCUUAACCGAGGAACUGCCCUCCAAACUGCUUGGCUUGAGUCCGGGAGAGGUGAGUGGAAUUCCUAGUGUAGAGGUGAAAUUCGUAGAUAUUAGGAAGAACACCAGUGGCGAAGGCGGCUCACUGGCCCGGUACUGACGCUGAGGCGCGAAAGCGUGGGGAGCAAACAGG
rnacentral:rRNA from 1 species